UAAAAGAAAUGAUUAUGAAAUCAAAGGGAU
rnacentral:piRNA from 1 species